rnacentral:rRNA from 1 species
GAUGAACGCUGGCGGCGUGCCUAAUACAUGCAAGUCGAGCGAAUGGAUUAAGAGCUUGCUCUUAUGAAGUUAGCGGCGGACGGGUGAGUAACACGUGGGUAACCUGCCCAUAAGACUGGGAUAACUCCGGGAAACCGGGGCUAAUACCGGAUAACAUUUUGAACCGCAUGGUUCGAAAUUGAAAGGCGGCUUCGGCUGUCACUUAUGGAUGGACCCGCGUCGCAUUAGCUAGUUGGUGAGGUAACGGCUCACCAAGGCAACGAUGGGUAGCCGACCUGAGAGGGUGAUCGGCCCAACUGGGACUGAGACACGGCCCAGACUCCUGCGGGAGGCAGCAGUAGGGAAUCUUCCGCAAUGGACGAAAGUCUGACGGAGCAACGCCGCGUGGGUGAUGAAGGCUUUCGGGUCGUAAAACUCUGUUGUUAGGGAAGAACAAGUGCUAGUUGAAUAAGCUGGCACCUUGACGGUACCUAACCAGAAAGCCACGGCUAACUACGUGCCAGCAGCCGCGGUAA